AUCUCCUCGAGGCUCCAAUAGAUCACAGAGGAAAUUAAAAAUUAGGCAAACUUAAUGAAGAUAACCGUAAUGGGUCGAGCGAUGAUGUUAACAUUGGUGGUGGUGAUGGGUGUGGUGAGCACAUCGGCUCUGGAUUGCAUCCAGUGUAUGAAUUGCAAUGGCAACGAAACCGCCACCGAGUGCAGCGAGAAAGCUUACGACGCAUGUAUAUCGUUAACAAGUAGUGAAACUGUGGUGAAGGGAUGCACCCUGAAAGCUGCAUGCAAAGCAGGCUGUGCGACGGAGAUCCUGAGGACACUUCAUCUUGUUGACCAAGAACAAU